rnacentral:rRNA from 1 species
GACGAACGCUGGCGGCGUGCUUAACACAUGCAAGUCGAACGGAAAGGCCUGCUUUCCCUUGUGGAUUGCGGGUACUCGAGUGGCGAACGGGUGAGUAACACGUGAGUGAUCUGCCCCCAACUUGGGUAUAAGCCUGGGAAACUGGGUCUAAUUCCCGAUAGGACUGCAGGGUGGUGCCUGUGGUGGAAAACGGUUUUCUAGUGGUUGGGGAUGAGCUCGCGGCCUAUCAGCUUGUUGGUGGGGUAAUGGCCUACCAAGGCGGCGACGGGUAGCCGGCCUGGGAGGGUGGACGGCCACAUUGGGACUGAGAUACGGCCCAGACUCCUACGGGAGGCAGCAGUGGGGAAUAUUGCACAAUGGGCGGAAGCCUGAUGCAGCGACGCCGCGUGGGGGAUGACGGCCUUCGGGUUGUAAACUCCUUUCGACCGCGAGGAAGCCACCUGGUUGGAAGGGUGGUGACGGUAGUGGUAGAAGAAGCACCGGCUAACUACGUG